rfam:Cavia porcellus supercont2_142 genomic scaffold, whole genome shotgun sequence.
GAAUGUGAGUCAUCUGGCUAACAUACCUAUCACCUUAUUGAUUGUUAGUGCUACUUUGGCUGAUCUUGCUGGCUAGAAGGAUGUGUCCUUUAUCCUGCACCACUCCAUAUGUGGAUUACCUUCCCUAAGAGAGGUGGAUUAUUUCCUUUGUCAAAAGUAUAUAAGUAAGUACACUCCUCUGCUAAAACACACACAAAAGCUCUUCUGAGUCUAUUAGUAAUUUUCUUUGGAGAAAUAAUAUACUGACCUAAAACAUUAUUUUCUCUAGAA